CGGGAAUCGGUGCAGCGGGUGAUGCACAUCAGACUGUAAAUCUGACGCUUAUAGCUUAGCAGGUUCGAAUCCUGCAUUCCCGACCA
rnacentral:tRNA from 1 species